AGGCCGAAAGGCGUAGGCGAUGGACAACAGGUUGAUAUUCCUGUACCACCUAAAUCCGCUUGAACGAUGGGGGGACGCAGGAGGAUAAGGAAAGCGCGCUGCUGGUUAUGCGCGUCCAAGCCGUGAGGAAGUUGAGCAGGCAAAUCCACUCAACACUAAUUCCAGGCGGUUAUGGGGAGGGAAAUUUAGUACCGAAGUUCCUGAUUUCACACUGCCAAGAAAAGCCUCUAGUGAGGAAAUAGGUGCCCGUACCGCAAACCGACACAGGUAGGCACGGUGAGUAACCGAAGAUGAUCGGGAGAACUCUCGUUAAGGAACUCGGCAAAAUGACCCCGUAACUUCGGGAGAAGGGGUGCUUCUUUUAAGGAGAAGCCGCAGUGAAAAGGCCCAAGCGACUGUUUAGCAAAAACACAGGUCUCUGCAAAGCCGUAAGGCGAAGUAUAGGGGCUGACACCUGCCCGGUGCUGGAAGGUUAAGGGGAAUGGUUAGGGACUUCGUCCCGAAGCUGUGAACCGAAGCCCCAGUAAACGGCGGCC
rnacentral:rRNA from 1 species